rnacentral:rRNA from 1 species
AUGGCCGCGAACGACGGCGGCCCAGAUCUGCCCGCCAACGCCCCCGUCGGCGGCGACGCAGACGCCGGCGGGCCGUACAUCCCCGCGGAGCUGGUCCCGGACAUCGCGAAGCACCUGACGAGCCUGCACGACUUCUUCGCCCUCCGCGCCGGCUGCCGCGCCUACCGCGCCGCCCUGCCCAACUGCCGGUACCUGCUCGCGAACCAGCCGCCGCACCUCCUCGUGCCCCACACCGCCGACCCCUCGCUGCCCCUCUUCAAGGUCCUCGAGCCCGGCUGCGCCGCCUUCUCGCUCGCCCUCUUCCACGUCCCCGACCGCCGCCUCCUCCGCUUCCGCGCCCGCCUCCCCUUCGCCAGGACCGGCGGCGUCCUCACCUCCGACGGCGCCCGCGUCGCCGCCGUCGACGGCGCCACCGGCGAGAUCCUCGUCACCGAUCUCCUCUCCGGCGUGCAGGCCCGCCUCCCCAGGCCCCCGCUGGAGUACAGCCGCGUCAUCCUCAGCGGCGGCUACGUCUUCGCCCCGGCGAAGGGCCGCACGGAGAUCCAGUACUGCAGCCUCUGGUACGCCCACUGGGCCGUCGCGUCCUACGGCGGCGACUUUGAGAUCCAGGACUGGCGCAUCGUCAACGGCGCCCUCUACGGGCUCCUCCCCUCCUGCGGCCUCGUCAUGGCUUCGCUCCCCAAGGACAACACUAUGGAACUGUGGAUGCUUGGAGGCGAAUUCGACGAAGACCUUGAAGAGAUUCUGAAGGAGACCGUAGGCGGAUCAUUGCUGGGGGAGUGCGGUGGCGAGCCCUUGCUUAUCUGCAAGGUGGGGCGCAUCGAUCCGGAAUACAAGAUUCUCCGGUGGGACUUCAAUGUGGGGAAGUGGGUGAUGACAACGAGCCUCGGUGGACAGACGCUGUUUAUUGGCUAUGAUGAUUUCGUCGCGUGCCUUGGUCCUGAUGUCCCAGGGAUCCGUGCCGACUGUGUGUAUGGAUCAUUGCCAUGGAGUGGGGGAUGGAGCGAGUAUUCUCUGGUCGAUAGGACCUGUAAAUGCUUCCCUGCACAGUAUCCAGGUGAACCAGGGGUUGGUUUCGGGAGGCCGCAGGUUUGGGUGCUUCCAAGCUUGUUCUGCGACUACUGA